GGGCAGACCCGAGGCGGGCCGAACACUGAGGACGCAAAACAAGCGGAAGCGGAAAUGGCGCGACUUCGACUUCCCAUUCCGGAACUUACAGAUGUAAGAUUCAUCAGUGACACUUUAUCUGGGUAACGGAGAGCCAUGCAUCCACAUGUCCCCUCGGCUGAGCCGGAGUCAGAGUGCUACUGUCAGCUGCUCAGGCUCAUCAGACACAGCAUGUCACGGGAAGGGCUCCAGCACUCACGCAUUUCAGUUCUUGCUGCACCUGGGAACAUGAUGCUCCACUCAGGCCCGAUGGCUGAAAGGCCAUCAUCACGUUGUUUAACUCCACUUUGGGUACUGGCUCCUUGUACCCAACUCCUCCCACAGCUUUUUCUUAGAGUAUUCUGUCGACCUAGCUCCAUCUUCUCUGUAGUGGCUUGGUCUGAGCCCCAGGUCACCUCGUGCCCCCACACCAGCUUUUCUGUGGGUCCUACUCCACCCCCCCAAGACUGGAAGCUCCUUGAGGAUAGUGUCUGUUACUUGUAGCCCAGCCCUCAGCACGGCACCCGGCCCAUAAAUGGCACUUAAUUAAUAUUACUGAAUUGCAUGUUGGAGAGGUAAGCAGUGGCCAUGUGAGGGAAGGCCUAGAAUUCUAUGGUGAGGAGCUCAUAUUCUCUCUCAGAGGUAAAGAGGGAAUGAUAGCUGGAACUGUACUCUUGAAAGAUUAUUCCGUCCAUUUUACACAGGAUAAAUUGAAGUAUGAAACAGAAACAGCAAUUCCAGGGCUUGGAUUUGGCCCCAGUGAGUUAAGAGACAGAAAAGGGGCUAAGUCAAGAUAGCAAUAGCAUUUUCACUGACUUCUGCCCACAUUCCUCUUUAAGCAACUUUUAAAAAAGUACAACAGAGCAAAUGCUAAGAGGGAAGACUAACAAAUACUGACAGUGAGCCAUUUUUCCAGCCCAGGCCUACCUAGGGAGACGGAACAGUUUACAAGCAGAGACUUGAGAGCACAGAACAGCACCAGUAGUGGGCCACAGAGGAAGCUGUGGCAGCUGCAGCAGAACCGGUAGCAGGAGCACUCAGGACCCAAGGAGGUGAAGGGCACUGAACACUUGACCAGAGAGAGAUUACUGAGGAAUCCUGUGCUAGCCUGGACACAGGAGUGGACACCAGUGGACAGCUCUGGUACCCAUCACCCAGAUCUAGGGAGCAGUUUCAGGAACAGAGGGGUUUGGGGGCUCACAUGGGUUACAGCUCUAAAGCAGAGAGAAGCUGAGGCUGAGGGAAGAGACUGCCCAACUGUGAAAUACUAGGGCACAGACCAGUAGGGCAGUAAUUGUCACUCUCCCUGGAUCACACCACCUUGGAAACCCUGAUAAUUUACAAAACUUAAGACCGAGCUGUGAAAACAAAAGGACAUAAA